GGGGCGUCGCCUUGUCCUCUUCGGAGCCAAUCGGAAUUCUGUUUCAUACUUUGUAAACAACACGGUUGCACGUUGUCUGCAAACUACUACGGGUAGUUGUCGCGGGCCAGGCGCCGCCAAGCCACUUCGCUCUGUCUCCAGGCAAAGGUGUAUGUUUCUUGGAGGGACCAUGGAGUGGUAAAUGAGAAGUGCUCCACCCUGUGCCCUCCUCCACCGAACUCACGCGAGCGGAUCCCCGUCCUUUCAUUGCUCGUACGUCGGCGUGUGAGCGAAUGUAGCGUUAGCCCUACGACAAAGAAGAGGCUUUUCGGCUGCGUCCUGGUUGGCUAAUCUAUGAAGCAAUGCAGUGAAAACCUCUAAAGCAGGAAUCGCCAGUGAGGGCAGGUGAGAUACUGAGGAUAUUGAUACCCAGAUACCAGCUCCCAAAGAAAGAGGCCACUGUUUCCUGUUAUCUACUGUGCUGUCUUCGGAGCCACCCCCCACCCCACCCACC
ensembl:lncRNA